UACGAAGGGGGCUAGCGUUGUUCGGAAUUACUGGGCGUAAAGCGCGCGCAGGCGGUCCUUUAAGUCAGGGGUGAAAGCCCAGAGCUCAACUCUGGAACUGCCUUUGAAACUAGAGGACUUGGGUACGGGAGAGGUGAGUGGAAUUCCGAGUGUAGAGGUGAAAUUCGUAGAUAUCGAGAGGAACACCUGCGGCGAAGGCGGGUUGCUGGGCUGACACUGACGCUGAUGUGCGAAAGCUAGGGGAGCGAACGGG
rnacentral:rRNA from 1 species